rnacentral:rRNA from 1 species
UACAGAGGGGGCAAGCGUUGUUCGGAAUUACUGGGCGUAAAGGGCGCGUAGGCGGCCUGUUAAGUCGGACGUGAAAUCCCUCGGCUCAACCGGGGAACUGCGUCCGAUACUGGCGGGCUUGAAUUCGGGAGAGGGAUGUGGAAUUCCAGGUGUAGCGGUGAAAUGCGUAGAGAUCAGGAGGAACACCGGUGGCGAAGGCGGCCCACUGGGCAGUCACUGACGCUGAGGCGCGAAAGCUCGGGGAGCGAACGGG